AACGCUUCUUUUUCCACCGGAGCUUGCUCCACCGGAAAAAGAGGAGUGGCGAACGGGUGAGUAACACGUGGGUAACCUGCCCAUCAGAAGGGGAUAACACUUGGAAACAGGUGCUAAUACCGUAUAACAAUCAAAACCGCAUGGUUUUGAUUUGAAAGGCGCUUUCGGGUGUCGCUGAUGGAUGGACCCGCGGUGCAUUAGCUAGUUGGUGAGGUAACGGCUCACCAAGGCCACGAUGCAUAGCCGACCUGAGAGGGUGAUCGGCCACAUUGGGACUGAGACACGGCCCAAACUCCUACGGGAGGCAGCAGUAGGGAAUCUUCGGCAAUGGACGAAAGUCUGACCGAGCAACGCCGCGUGAGUGAAGAAGGUUUUCGGAUCGUAAAACUCUGUUGUUAGAGAAGAACAAGGAUGAGAGUAACUGUUCAUCCCUUGACGGUAUCUAACCAGAAAGCCACGGCUAACUACGUGCCAGCAGCCGCGGUAAUACGUAGGUGGCAAGCGUUGUCCGGAUUUAUUGGGCGUAAAGCGAGCGCAGGCGGUUUCUUAAGUCUGAUGUGAAAGCCCCCGGCUCAACCGGGGAGGGUCAUUGGAAACUGGGAGACUUGAGUGCAGAAGAGGAGAGUGGAAUUCCAUGUGUAGCGGUGAAAUGCGUAGAUAUAUGGAGGAACACCAGUGGCGAAGGCGGCUCUCUGGUCUGUAACUGACGCUGANGCUCGAAAGCGUGGGGAGCAAACAGGAUUAGAUACCCUGGUAGUCCACGCCGUAAACGAUGAGUGCUAAGUGUUGGAGGGUUUCCGCCCUUCAGUGCUGCAGCUAACGCAUUAAGCACUCCG
rnacentral:rRNA from 1 species